GACGAACGCUGGCGGCGUGCCUAACACAUGCAAGUCGAACGAAGUGGCGAACGGGUGAGUAACGCGUAAUCAACCUGCCCUUCAGAGGGGGACAACAGUUGGAAACGACUGCUAAUACCGCAUACUGAAGGAGGGGAUUGCGUCUGAUUAGCUAGUUGGGGGGGUAACGGCCCACCAGGGCGAUGAUCAGUAGCCGGGCUGAGAGGAUGACCGGCCACAAUGGGACUGAGACACGGCCCAGACCCCUACUGGGGGCAGCAGUGGGGAAUUUUCCGCAAUUGACGAAAGUCUGGCGGCGCAACGGCGCGUGGGUGAUGACGGCCUUCGGGUUGUAAAGCUCUGUUAAUCGGGACGCGGUACCGGAAUAGAAAGCCACGGCUAACUACGUGCCAGCAGCCGCGGUAAUAC
rnacentral:rRNA from 1 species